AAUAGAUACCCCGAUAGUCCACGCUGUAAACGAUGAGAACUAGCCGUUGGGCACAAUUGAGUGUUUAGUGGCGCAGCUAACGCGAUAAGUUCUCCGCCUGGGGAGUACGGCCGCAAGGUUAAAACUCAAAUGAAUUGACGGGGGCCCGCACAAGCGGUGGAGCAUGUGGUUUAAUUCGAUGCAACGCGAAGAACCUUACCUGGUCUUGACAUGUCGGGAACCCUUGAGAGAUCGAGGGGUGCCUUCGGGAACCCGAGCACAGGUGCUGCAUGGCUGUCGUCAGCUCGUGUCGUGAGAUGUUGGGUUAAGUCCCGUAACGAGCGCAACCCUUGUCCCUAGUUGCCAGCGUUAAGUCGGGAACUCUAGGGAGACUGCCGGUGAUAAACCGGAGGAAGGUGGGGAUGACGUCAAGUCAUCAUGGCCCCUUAUGACCAGGGCUACACACGUGCUACAAUGGUCGGUACAGAGGGUAGCCAAGCCGUGAGGCGGAGCCAAUCUCACAAAGCCGAUCGUAGUCCGGAUUGCAGUCUG
rnacentral:rRNA from 1 species